AAUAAGUGCAGUUUUGCACUAUUUAUGUUCAACGCUUGACCGUCCGUCUUAUUUGAAAAUUUUUUAUGAUUAGUAUUUUUAUUGCUAUUAGAUAAUAAAACAUGAAUAGUACUUUAUGUGUGACUAAAUAUUUUUAAUUUUUUCACAAAUUUUUCAAAUAAGACGGACGGUCAAACGUUGAACAUAAAUAGUGCAAAACUACACUUAUU
rfam:Oryza glaberrima chromosome 10 Oglab10_0134_1, whole genome shotgun sequence.